GACGAACGCUGGCGGCGUGCUUAACACAUGCAAGUCGAACGGAAAGGCCCUGCUUGCAGGGUACUCGAGUGGCGAACGGGUGAGUAACACGUGGGUGAUCUGCCCUGCACUUCGGGAUAAGCCUGGGAAACUGGGUCUAAUACCGGAUAGGAGCCAUCUUUAGUGUGAUGGUUGGAAAGUUUUUUCGGUGUAGGGUGAGCUCGCGGCCUAUCAGCUUGUUGGUGGGGUAAUGGCCUACCAAGGCGGGGCCGGGUAGCCGGCCUGAGAGGGUGGACGGGCACAUUGGGACUGAGAUACGGCCCCGACUCCUACGGGAGGCAGCAGUGGGGAAUAUUGCGCAAUGGGCGCGAGCCUGAUGCAGCGACGCCGCGUGGGGGAGGACGGCCUUCGGGUUGUAAACUCCUUUCGCUAGGGACGAAGCUUUUUGUGACGGUACCUAGAUAAGAAGCACCGGCUAACUACGUG
rnacentral:rRNA from 1 species